UGCAUCACGUGCGUGAAGGCGACGAUCUCGAAGAGCUUCGCCAACAUGCGCGCGUCGUUGAUGUCGCCCUCCACGAUGAAGAUGCUCUGCGAGGCGAGGAGAUUUUUGCGGUCGCGCUUCAGGGAGGGGUCGUAGUAGCUGUUGAAGUUGUCGAUGCCGACGACGCCGUCGCCGCGCUUCUUCAGGGCGAGGGAGACGUGGCUGCCGACGAAGCCGGCGGCGCCGGUGACGAGGACGGCGCGGCCGCUGUGGCGGCGGAUCUGGGCGGAGGCGCGGACCUGCUUCUCCCACUGGAUGCCGCCCCACGCGGUG
rnacentral:lncRNA from 1 species